ensembl:lncRNA
AUGUAGCAGGAUGGGCCUUUAAUUAGUGCUGCAGUACCGGCCUAUCACUGUUGGGUGCGCUGCCUAUAAAGGUGGGUGGUUGUGCACUGGGAGCACUCUUGCCUGGGAGCUCCUGGCUAUCCCGCCUCCUGUUGUCACCGAAACCUGAUCGCCUCACCUGAUCGCCUUUUAGCUGGAUCGUGCAGCUCGCCGUUGUUUGGCAGUUCAUUGGCCGGGUCUUCCCUCUCCCGUAUCGACCCCAGUUGUAGGGCGUGCGAGUGUUUCCUCCUCUACCUGUUGCAGCGGGGAGCGAUCAGCUGAUUGAUCGAGUUGCACUUGUAAUUGUGCUGCUCGGUACAAGUGAUCCUCUUCCUCCCCUUUGAUGUUCAUUCAACUCCUGACGGGUUGACGUGUGUGUGGGCGGUUUCUGCCAGCACGUCCCCCCUCUUCACGCUGCUGUUGGCCGGCUGCCGUUUUGUCCAUUGGUUAUAUAGCCAACACAUCCAUCCUACUCUGCAUCUCCUACUGUGCUGUACCUGCCACCGAGUAUGGUGAUUGCUGCCUCAUCCUCAGUCUCAUUAUCUUAAUCCAUUCAUUUAACCGACUUCUAACUGAUCUUAUUGUUGAUAUUAUUUGUGUUUUGUGGGUUGCUUUGCAUGUUUGUUUUGGUUUAAUUCGUUUUCUUAGUUAUUUUGGUUUGGCUUAAUUGCUUUACUUAUUCAUUUGGAUUUAUCAGCUUGGAUAAAUCUCCUUUACUUUUGAUUUAAACCCCAUUUAGUUAUUUGCUCUUCCCUUUUUGUGUAUUUUUGUGUGUGUGUGUGUGUGUGUGUGUGUGUGUGUUUGCUUUAGUGUGUUUGUGUGAACAUAUUUUAUUGAGAAGUCAUGUUUAAAGAUUAUAUAUAUUAAUUAAAAGGAAUUUAAUUUGUAUGCUGGACCCAGUCUCAAGCUUUCAUUAGUGAACGAACUAUGCUUUAACUUAGGUUAAUCUAACUCUCCAGGUGAAAUUCCUGGGGUGGCGUUGUUGGCAACUUGUCACUAGUUCUUUAACUGAACUUUAUCUUUUUGUUUCCCCAACCGCCGAAUGCCACAUUUGGCGUUGUCGGCAGGAUAAUUACUUUUGGAAAGCAGAGACGUGUGGUCCAGUUUCUUUAUAUAAUUUGUUUUGUUUAUUUUAAUAGUCCCCAGGGUACAUAUUUGAUGUAGAUGUUUUGAAUUGUGUUCAGAGGCAAAACGGCAGCUUGGCCUUUCGUGGUCCGCAGAGUCCCGGUGAGAAUCCAGUUGUGGGGUUGUUGUGUCCUAGUCUGACUGUAGUGUUAGUUAUGGAUGUAGAGCUGCAGGAGUUGAGGGAGCUGGUGGCGCAGUUAAAGGUGGACAAUGAGAGGUUGCGGCAGGAGCAGGCUGUGGCCUUGCCCGGUCCUAGUUCUGAAUCCUCCACUUCUUCUGUGCCACCUGUGGCCCCUGUUACUACUAGGAACCCCAUAGCAGAGAGGCUGGUUUUUGUGCCAAGGGAUAGAAAGUGUCCUAUGUUCAGAGGAAAAUCAGGUAUGGGGUUGACUGAGUGGCUUGAGGAGGCUCAAGCCUGCAUGCGGGCGCGUCACUUAUCCACAUCUGAGCAAGCCUUUUUCUUGUUUGAUCAUCUUGAGGGUGAGGCUCGAGAGGAGAUCAAAUAUCGGUCUGUUGUGGAGAAGGAAGACUCAGCUAAAAUCAUCUCUGUGUUACAGGAACUAUAUGGGUGCUCAAAGUCUUAUGUAGCCUUACAGGAGGCGUUCUUCUCCCGACAGCAACAAGAAGGGGAGACACUGCACGAGAUCUCCCUCGCGUUAUUGAGCUUGAUGGAGUCGGUGAAAAGAAGUGCACCUGGUGGGAUGACGAAUGCAGACGUUUUGCUGCGCGACCAAUUUGUCGAGCAUGUUUUGGACGGUGCCUUGCGUCGCGAGCUGAAGCAGAUGGUCAGGAGGCAGGCUACUGCUACUUUGCUUGAUGUCCGGGGUGAGGCGAUCCGGUGGGAACGGGAGGGGUUCCCUGGGUGCGGGAGGGGUCGGAGUCAUUCCGUUCCUUCAGCUUUUGGUCUCCAGUACGGGGUACAGAGUGGCUCCCGGGGAGCAACCACUCCACCUCAGGGACAGGAAAUGGUGGAGAUGAGAGAGAUGUUAAGGUUGCAGCAAGAACAGCUGAACCAACUAACCCAGAGCAUCGCCACAUUGCAGCCCUCUCAUCUGCGCCACCCUCCACCUCGUCGUGGCCCUGUUAUAUGCCGGCGCUGCCAACAGUCAGGUCACUACGCAAGCGACUGUGAUGGCGUUCGGGUUUCUGCUCGUCUUCUUUGCCUGGUCGUCAACAGUCUAAAAGGCAUUCUCAUCAGGCCCAGGAGCUGGAAAACUAGCACCCGCCGAACUGCAGCGCCACCGUUCGGGGGGGGUAGCCACUGGCUCGGAGGAAGUUCUUGAGCUGAUGUCGUCUUGCCCGCAUGUUGCCGUGAACAUGGGUGGAGCUCAGGUUCUUUGCUUGGUAGAUACCGGUUCCAUGGUGUCUACAGUUACAGAAAGCUUUUUCCUGCAACACUUCCGGCCUUGGGGGCAUGAGAGGCUCCAAGCUUGUAAUUGGCUGAAGCUUAGAGCAGCCAAUGGGUUGGACAUCCCCUAUGUUGGCUACCUGGAGUUAGAUGCCGAGCUCUGUGGCACUUCAGUGCCGCGGUGUGGGGUUUUGGUGGUGAAAGAUCCUCCGGGAGCGGUGUCUGCUCAGGUUCCUGGUAUUCUGGGGAUGAACAUUAUUCGUCAAUGUUAUCAGGUGCUCUUUGGACAGCAUGGUCUGGCUUUGUUCAAUUUGCUCUCUGUAUCAGAUGCACCAGAGACAGUUACGCAGGCACUACAGAAGUGUCAUCAGGCCAGCAGGCAAGCCCCUCAGCACGCAGCAGGCCAGGUCAAGGUUCGGGGUGGGAAGGCAUGCUGUAUCCCUGGUGGUACGAUGACAAUAGUUACAGCAACAUGCUCCGAGCAGUACUCAGGUACUAGGGUGUUGUUUGAGCCUUUGGAGUCUGGCCUACCUGCUGGGCUGCUUGCUUCACAUGCUUUGGUUCGGGUAGUACGAGGCACUGCGUACAUCCCGAUUGUAAAUGUUGGCUCCACUAGUGUUUUGUUGUACCCUCGUACUGUGGUGGGCACCUUGGAUGAAGUCCGGGUUGUCAGCCUGCCUGCAGGGGUCACCGAGACGCCAACAGACGUCGCCACUGUGGCUUCCCAGGCCACGUCUGAAGUCGUGCCAGAUCGGAUUGGGGCUUUGGACUUGUCAGCCUUGCCGACUGAAGAUCGGGGUAAGGUUCAGUCCCUUCUUAGGCAGUACGACUCUGUCUUUUCCUCCCAUGAGGGAGAUCUGGGAUGCACCAACCUGAUCAGCCAUGACAUCCCGCUCUUAGACAACGUGCCUGUCAGGCAACGCUAUAGGCGCAUCCCGCCGUCCGAGUACGAGGUGGUUAAGGAGCAUAUUAACCAACUUCUUGAAAAUCAAAUCAUCAGAGAGUAGCAGUCCUUAUGGUGCCCCAAUUGUGCUUGUGAAAAAGAAAGACGGCAGUUUACGCAUGAGCGUGGACUACCGCCAGCUCAACAACAAAACACGCAAGGAUGCUUUUCCUCUUCCACGCAUCGAUGAAUCUUUGGACGUCCUGACAGGUGCCCGCUGGUUCUCUACUCUUGACUUGGCCAGCGGGUAUAACCAGGUCCCGGUCACAGAAGCAGACAGGCCCAAAACCGUCUUUUGCACCCCGUUCGGCUUAUUCGAAUGGAACCGCAUGCCCUUUGGGCUUUGCAACGCCCCCAGCACUUUCCAGAGGCUGAUGCAGCGAAUGUUCGGUGACCAACAAUGUCAAUCGUUGCUCCUGUAUCUGGAUGACAUCGUGGUCUUCUCCUCCACGGUGGAACAACACCUGGAGCGGCUGGAGAUUGUACUGGGGCGGUUGCAGGAACAAGGCCUGAAGGCUAAGCUAAGCAAAUGCGCGUUCUUCCAGCCGAAGGUGCGGUACUUGGGCCAUGUGGUCUCUGACCAGGGAGUAUCCACCGAUCCCAGAAAGCAAGAGGUAGUUGCCAACUGGCAGCCUCCCACCACCAUCGCUGACCUACGCUCAUUCCU